ensembl:snRNA U6 U6 spliceosomal RNA
GUGCUCAGUUUGGCAGCACAUGUACUAAAACUGGAAUGAUGCAGAGAUUAUCACGGCCCCUGUGCAUGGAUGACACACAAAUUUGUGAAGCAUUCCAUAUAAAA